AACCAGAAUGAUGAAAAAAACAUCCUUAGGCGUGCGUGGUGUGGCCGUCUUGGUCACCUAUGUGCCACGUGCCAAUGCUAGGACUUGUCAUAGUUACACUGACUGUUU